AGCGAACGCUGGCGGCAGGCUUAACACAUGCAAGUCAAGGGGGUAGCAAUACAACCGGCGCACGGGUGGGUAACGCGUACACAACAUGCCAUAUACUGGAGUAUAGCCUUGGGAAACCGAGGGUAAUCCUCCAUAAUAUUUCGGAUAGGCAUCUAUUUGAAAUUAAAGUUUCGACGGUAUAUGAUUGGUGUGCGUUUGAUUAGGUAGUUGGUGGGGUAAAGGCUCACCAAGCCGACGAUCUGUAGCUGGUCUGAGAGGACGACCAGCCACACUGGGACUGAGACACGGCCCAGACUCCUACGGGAGGCAGCAGUGGGGAAUUUUGGACAAUGGGCGCAAGCCUGAUCCAGCCAUUCCGCGUGCAGGAUGAAGGCCCUCGGGUUUGUAAACUG
rnacentral:rRNA from 1 species